rnacentral:rRNA from 1 species
UACGAAGGGGGCUAGCGUUGUUCGGAUUUACUGGGCGUAAAGCGCGUGUAGGCGGGUCGUUAAGUUGGGGGGGAAAUCCCGAGGCUCAACCUCGGAACUGCCUUCAAAACUGGCGACCUGGAGCAAGAUAGAGGCAAGUGGAAUUGCGAAUGUAGAGGUGAAAUUCGUAGAUAUUCGCAGGAACACCAGUGGCGAAGGCGACUUGCUGGAUCUUUGCUGACGCUGAGACGCGAAAGCGUGGGGAGCAAACAGG